rnacentral:misc_RNA from 1 species
GAUGAAGAACGUAGCGAACUGCGAUAAGUAAUGUGAAUUGCAGAAUUCAGUGAAUCAUCGAGUCUUUGAACGCACAUUGCGCCCCCUGGCAUUCCGGGGGGCAUGCCUGUCCGAGCGUCAUUGCUGCCAUUCAAGCCCGGCUUGUGUGUUGGGUCGUCGUCCCCCCCGGGGGACGGGCCCGAAAGGCAGCGGCGACACCGCGUCCGGUCCUCGAGCGUAUGGGGCUUUGUCACCCGCUCGAUUAGGGCCGGCCGGGCGCCAGCCGGCGUCUCCAACCUUCUAUUUUACCAGGUUGACCUCGGAUCAGGUAGGGAUAACCGCUGAACUUAAGCAUAUCAAUAAGCGGAGGA